rnacentral:piRNA from 1 species
UGUUUUAGUAGGGACACAGAUGCUCUGGC